rnacentral:rRNA from 1 species
AGAGUUUGAUUCUUGGCUCAGGACGACACUGCUGGCUGGCGUGCCUAAUACAUGCAAGUCGACGCGAAGUUUUUCUGGCUGCUUGCACCGGAAAAAGCUUAGGCGGCGAAGCAGGUGAGUAACACGUAAAGAAAGUGCCUCAUAGACUGGGACAACUAUUGGAAACGAUAGCUAAUACCGGAUAACAGCAUUAACUGCAUGGUUGAUGUUUAAAAGUUGGUGUUUGCUAACACUAUGAGAUGGCUUUGCGGUGCAUUAGCUAGUUGGUGGGGUAAAGGCUUACCAAGGCCGACGAUGCAUANCCGACCUGAGAGGGUGAUCGGCCACACUGGGACUGAGACACGGCCCAGACUCCUACGGGAGGCAGCAGUAGGGAAUCUUCCGCAAUGGGCGAAAGCCUGACGGAGCAACGCCGCGUGAGUGAAGAAGGAUUUCGGUUCGUAAAGCUCUGUUGUUAGGGAAGAAUGAUUGUGUANUAACUAUACACAAGUAGAGACGGUACCUAACCAGAAAGUCACGGCUAACUACGUGCCAGCAGCCGCGGUAAUACGUAGGUGGCAAGCGUUGUCCGGAAUUAUUGGGCGUAAAGCGCGCGCAGGUGGUUUAAUAAGUCUGAUGUGAAAGCCCACGGGCUCAACCGUGGAGGGUCAUUGGAAACUGUUAAACUUGAGUGCAGGAGAGAAAAGUGGAAUUCCUAGUGUAGCGGUGAAAUGCGUAGAGAUUAGGAGGAACACCAGUGGCGAAGGCGGCUUUUUGGCCUGUAACUGACACUGAGGCGCGAAAGCGUGGGGAGCAAACAGGAUUAGAUACCNCUGGUAGUCCACGUCCGUAAACGAUGAGUGCNUACGUGUUGGUCUCAUAAGAGAUCAGUGCUGCAGCUAACGCAUUAAGCACUCCGCCUGGGGAGUACGACCGCAAGGUUGAAACUCAAAGGAAUUGACGGGGACCCGCACAAGCGGUGGAGCAUGUGGUUUAAUUCGAAGCAACGCGAAGAACCUUACCAAGUCUUGACAUANCUGUGAGGACACAAGAGAUUGUGUUGUUCUGACCUUUGGUUAGACACAGAUACAGGUGGUGCAUGGUUGUCGUCAGCUCGUGUCGUGAGAUGUUGGGUUAAGUCCCGCAACGAGCGCAACCCUUAUAUCUAGUUGCCAAGCAGUAAGAUGGGGACUCUAGAUAGACUGCCAGUGAUAAAACUGGAGGAAGGUGGGGAUGACGUCAAAUCAUCAUGCCCCUUAUGACUUGGGCUACACACGUGCUACAAUGGAUAGGAACAAAGAGAAGCGAGCUCGCGAGAGUAAGCAAACCUCACAAAACUAUUCUCAGUUCGGAUUGUAGUCUGCAACUCGACUACAUGAAGCUGGAAUCGCUAGUAAUCGCGAAUCAGAAUGUCGCGGUGAAUACGUUCCCGGGUCUUGUACACACCGCCCGUCACACCACGAGAGUUUGUAACACCCGAAGACGGUGGCCUAACCUUUUAGGAGGGAGCCGGUCACGGUGGGACAGAUGAUUGGGGUGAAGUCGUAACAAGGUAGCCGUAUCGGAAGGUGCGGCUGGAACACCUCCUU